rnacentral:lncRNA from 1 species
GGACGGUCCCACCUCCGGCGGCACAGCACAGCACAGCACAGCGCAACACGGGGCGGGCCGGGGUGAGUCACCGCGCCGGGAGGCCCCGCCCCGCACCGGGACAGCGGAGGGGUCCGCCACCGCGCGGCCGGGAUGGGGCGGCCCCGAGGAGCUCCGCGCUGCCGGGAGAGCGGCGGGGUUCUUACCCGGAGAAUGGGUGGUACAGAGCGCGGGACUCAGGUGCCGUGCCCGGGGUGACCGUGCUGGGGGAUGUAAGGAUGGAGCGCAGCCCUGCCGAAAAGGACCUGGGAGUGCUGGCGGACAGGAGCCAGCAAUGUGCCCUCGCAGCCCAGAAGGCAAACCGUAUCCUGGGCUGCGUCAAAAGCAGCGCGGCCAGCAAGGUGGUUACGCUGAAUUGUGCUGACUGCAAAGCAGAGAGAUGCUGUGUUCCUGAGAUGACUCUCCGGUCCCAAAGGAAGGUUUUUGACUCCUGAAAUGAGCUGUGGGUGCUGCAGGCCUUCUCUCCAUCCUCAGCCAAGCACUUUCUUUCUCCGCACUGACCUCUGGAUGGGGAUGUGAAAAGCAGCACCGAGAGGCACAGCUCUGUUUGGUUCUGCCUUCAGAGAUGGGACAUUCAGGGAAUGUAGCUGCUGAGCUGCUGGUGCAAGCCGAGGGGUGCCCUAUGGCAGGGAAGGCUCUGCCAGCAGAGCAGCCGCCUCCCGCUGAGCCGAGGCGUGUUGGCGUGCCGGCAAUGCACUGAGCAGCUCUGUAAUAGCAGCUCCUAUCAAGGUGGUUUAGAUUAGCAUAAUGGACUCAGCAAAUCAGAAAUGUGUGCGGAGUCAGUGAGCACAGCCCCGCUGACAAGCUGUAACUUGAGAACCUGCUCUGUACAGGGGGACAAAUUUGGGCAAAUCUUAGAGGCUCAUCAAAGGCACGGCCUGGGACAAUGGGGCGGUUUCUGCACCACUUCAAGUUCCUGCUCCAAAAGCAAUAGAGGUUCCAGCAACAAAUGUGAGGGGUGGGAUAAUGUUGGGCAAGGAACUUUACUUUCUCUGGUAUAUUGUUUCUGGAAUGGCCAAAUUUUAGAAGAAGCUUUCCAAAAUACUCCAGCCUGGGGCAGGCACCUGGUACGGAAAUCCUCAUCCUGAAUGGCUUCAAACUUGGCAAUAUCUUCUAGUGAUUGAAGAAACUUGUAAUGAGAAGCACUAAGUAAUCAGCUACAUGGGGCACUACUUGUUUUAUCUGCCUCGUAAUUAAGUUUAAGGAAUGAAGUCAUUUCAGGUUGGAUAUUAGGAAAAAUAUCUGCUCAGGAAGAGCGGUGAUGCAUUGGCACAGCUGCCCAGGGAGGUGGGGCAGUCACCGUCCCUGGAGGUGUUUGAGAGCCGUGUGGAUGUGGCACUGAGGGCUGUGGUCAGUGGGCAUGGGGGGGGUGGGUCGCUGGUUGGACUCAAUGACCUCAGUGGUCUCUUCCAACCUUCAUGGUUCUAUGAUUGCUUGAAGUCACAUGCCUCUUCUAUUUUUAUACAGCUGCUUUCUUCUGAUGGCAAAAUCACCACUUAAAUACUUCUUUGUAUUAUAUGUGUCCUAAUAAAUGUUUCCAGAGAAUCUCUGCCGUUUUGAUUUUCUUGAAUUACAAAACCCAGGAAGAAC